rnacentral:lncRNA from 1 species
CUCCAGUGCCUCUGUCUGAGCUGAGCUCCUUGGAGCCAGGGUGGUCACUGUAAAGUCAGGACAUUGGAUUUCAUUAAAGCUGCGGUCAAUGCGAGGAGCCUUGCUUGGGAAAGGCAGCCAGCUCUGAUCAGAGGGGGUGAUCUUUGAUCUUCAAAACUUCCCGAGAGCCUGUGGUGAUACUGAGAGCCUAUACCAGUGUCUGAUUUUACUUAUCAGUAGCAAUGCACUCAAACCAUAGAAACUCACAUGAACUGUUUUCCACAUAAAACACUCUUCCCAGAUACCGGAGACUGAGAGUUAAAUAUUGCUAUUGCCUCAGUAUAGAGAACAGUCAGGGCAAAACCUCAGGAGAGUCCUAGUCUCAAAGAAACUGCCCAAACUCACCAUCCUGAACUAUCCUACAGUGGCAUCUACUUUAUGAGAAAGCACAAAAUCCUCCAUCAUUUCUUCCCCCUUAUACAGUCCUGCACGAGAGGGAGAAGAACACAAGAUCAUCUCCCUACAGACAAUCAGCUAAUUAAUUAGCAAAUGCCUGGGUAUAAUGCUUUCAGCAAGGCCCUAUCUGUGUGCUAAUUAGUAUCAUUAGCUGGUGCCCCAAGGAACCAGCUUUGAUUACUCUUCUCUCACUGAUUACACAGAAGCAACCAGGCAAGUGCUUUCAUUGUUCAUAAAGUUAUUUUAGCUCUUCUUAAGACCUAUCUACAGCCUUUAGGUCUCUGACCUGCUGUGCUGUACAUCUAUUUGCUGACUCAAAGGGAUUAUUUCUUAUAAGCUAACACCUGUUGUUCCCUCUGCACUUAGAGGGGCUGAAUGUGAUGAAGGGUAAUGGUUCCAUGGAGCAGGGCUGCUCCCAUUGAAACAGGGGCAAGAGGGGAGCAGGAAGGACUCUGUAAAAUCCUAGAAGUGCUUUUCAGCCCACAGAAACAGGAACAUCGUCCAAGAAACUUAAAAAUACAAUAGAUCGGUGUAUUGCCAAACUGCGCAAAAUGGCUGACUCAUGCAAUUAUCAGAGCCACUAUCACCAGGCAGAACAAUAUGCCCAAAUUGAAAAGGAAUGUUAGAAAGACAUGGGAAGACUCAACUGAACCAGUCAGAUGCUAGUUUCAAAAUCGAGGCUGGAAGGAAG